CGGGGCUUCGGCCCCGGGGACAGCGGCGAACGGGUGAGUAACACGUGGGUAAUCUGCCCUCGGCACCGGGAUAGCCCGGGGAAACUCGGAUUAAUACCGGAUUGCCCCUCCGGCCUUCGGGCCGGCGGGAAAAGGUAGCUUCGGCCUCUGGCCGAGGAUGAGCCCGCGGCGGAUUAGCUUGUUGGUGAGGUAAUGGCUCACCAAGGCGACGAUCCGUAGCUGGUCUGAGAGGACGAUCAGCCACACUGGGACUGAGACACGGCCCAGACUCCUACGGGAGGCAGCAGUGGGGAAUCUUGCGCAAUGGGCGAAAGCCUGACGCAGCGACGCCGCGUGAGGGAAGAAGGCCUUCGGGUUGUAAACCUCUUUCAGGAGGGACGAAGCCACUCGGGUGAAUAGCCCAGAGGGUGACGGUACCUCCAGAAGAAGCCCCGGCUAACUACGUGCCAGCAGCCGCGGUAAUACGUAGGGGGCAAGCGUUGUCCGGAUUUAUUGGGCGUAAAGCGCGUGUAGGCGGCCAGGCAGGUCCGUUGUGAAAACUGGAGGCUCAACCUCCAGACGUCGAUGGAAACCGCUUGGCUAGAGUCCGGAAGAGGAGAGUGGAAUUCCUGGUGUAGCGGUGAAAUGCGCAGAUAUCAGGAAGAACACCGAUGGCGAAGGCAGCUCUCUGGGACGGUACUGACGCUGAGACGCGAAAGCGUGGGGAGCAAACA
rnacentral:rRNA from 1 species